UGGUAGGAGGUAGAUUGCAUGUUGUCCAUUUUAUUUAGAAAAUAGAUAAAUUAGUUCUUUUAGGUUAAAUUAAAGAAUAAAUCAGCAUUUUCUGUUAAAAAUCAUAUCCAUUUUUGCUAUUCAAAAAUGGUGUAACUAAUAGAACAACCAGAGUACAAGUGUCAUGUGUACUUUAUGCUGACAUAUAAAAAUCAAUUAUUAACAGAAGAAAUGGAUGAAAAUUUACUCAUUUUUUUAGUGGAAGGACAAAAUGCAAUCUGACCCUUAAUA
rnacentral:pre_miRNA from 1 species